AUCCGGCUGACGAGUCCCAAAUGAGACGAAACUUGCAUCCUGGAU
rfam:Schistosoma rodhaini strain Burundi genome assembly, scaffold: SROB_scaffold0002830